UACGAAGGGUGCAAGCGUUACUCGGAAUUACUGGGCGUAAAGCGUGGUGUGAGCGGUUCGUUAAGUCCGUUGUGAAAGCCCUGGGCUCAACCUGGGAAUGGCAGUGGAUACUGGCGAGCUAGAGUGUGAUAGAGGAUGGUGGAAUUCCCGGUGUAGCGGUGAAAUGCGUAGAGAUCGGGAGGAACACCAGUGGCGAAGGCGGCCAUCUGGAUCAACACUGACGCUGAGGCACGAAAGCGUGGGGAGGCAAACAGGG
rnacentral:rRNA from 1 species